GAUGAACGCCGACCGAAUGCUUAACACAUGCAAGUCGAUGGGGAAGUGGUGCUUGCACCAUGGUAACCAUGGCGGACGGGUGAGUAACGCGUAAGGAACUUGCCUGCGGGACUGGGAUAACAGCAGGAAACUGCUGAUAAUACCGGAUAAGGUCAUUAAGCUGCAUAGCUUAGUGAUGAAAGGAGACGCCUGCGGAGAGCCUUGCGUCCUAUUAGCUAGUUGGAGGGGUAACGGCCCACCAAGGCGAAGAUAGGUAGCCGGCCUGAGAGGGUGGACGGCCACAAGGGGACUGAGAUACGGCCCUUACUCCUACGGGAGGCAGCAGUGGGGAAUAUUGGACAAUGGGGGCAACCCUGAUCCAGCAAUUCUGUGUGCACGAAGACGGUUUUCGGAUUGUAAAGUGCUUUCAGAAGGGAAGAAGGAAGUGACGGUACCUGCAGAAGAAGCGACGGCUAAAUACGUG
rnacentral:rRNA from 1 species